ACCUAAACAGGAUCGUGAGCGAGCUGCAGAAGGACGAAGAAGCCACGUGCACGGGUAUGGACAUUGUGAAGAAGAUAACACUUCUGGAUGCUAUCCGCUGGGCUGACAAAGCAUGGAAGGAGACCAUCAACAAGUGCUUCGGGAAAGCUGGCUUCAUCUCCCCAAGCCUGGUUAGGUGAAGUUCUCUUGGAAUACCUGAUAGAGGAGUUAUUAAUAAAAUAAAAGUGUGGCUGGUGUGUCACCUCUCCAGUCACCGCAUCACAGGCAGGAAUGGACAACCAGGCCGGCUUAGCAACCCCCAGGCAAACACGUGGCUAAACACACUGAAGACAAACGCUACCACCUGAAACGACACCUUAAACACGGUGGAGAAAAAAGUAUAAGUGUGAGAAAUGUGAGUAUCAUGCCGCAAGGCAAACACAGUCGGGGAAGACCAAAGAGGACUACGAAGCGGCAAGGAUAAAUUCAUUCAUGAUUAGAUCAUCCGGGAGGUGGUUCGAUUCCUGCCAUCACCACAACGCGUCCGGGCUGUUGUCUUCGACUACGAGCAGGCCAUGCGGAUAGCGUUCGACCGAGUUUUCCCGACAUUAAGAGGAGAGGAUGCUCAUUUCACUGGGGGAAGUGUGUAUUCAGCCAUAUCAAGGAGAUCGGUCUCCAAGCAGCCUACAACAGGGGGAGGGGUGCGCACACCUUCAUGAGGAAGCUGUUGGCCCUACAGCCCGGCCCGCCACAUCCCUGAGACUCUGGAACAUCUGCGGAUGGCACAGACGCACAGCGCCCCAACCUCGGAUUCUAGUGGUUCAUACCUCAUACAAGUCCAAUAUGACACGGCACUUGAAAAAAAAA